UCCGUAGGCGGUCUUAUAAGUCAGUGGUGAAAGCCCAUCGCUCAACGAUGGAACUGCCAUUGAUACUGUAAGACUUGAAUGCUUAGGAAGUAACUAGAAUAUGUAGUGUAGCGGUGAAAUGCUUAGAUAUUACAUGGAAUACCAAUUGCGAAGGCAGGUUACUACUAAGUGAUUGACGCUGAUGGACGAAAGCGUGGGGGAGCAAACA
rnacentral:rRNA from 1 species